rnacentral:lncRNA from 1 species
UUGUGUUUCACAUUUUAAAUCACAGAUCUGUAUCAUUUGAGAUUAAAGUGGGUAAAGUCCAUCUUGUUUUUUUUGACAUAAUGCAAAAAACGGGAUUAAACAAUGAGUAGUCAAUUUAGAAUUGAUGCGAAUACUUUGUUUUUUCUUCCAUGUAUGCAUACCUAUUCCUGCUAGUGAAGUUUUAUAUUCAUGUGUUCAUAUGUGGUACUAAACUGCAAAAUUAUCGCAAGAAGUACAAUAUUUGGAAUUUGAGGUCAUUGAUGAUGUAAAAUGAGGCAUAUAUUGCUUCAUCAUACGGUUAAAUGCCAUUUCUUUUCAUUUGUACAUGACUUGUUCAUUGGUCAAGCCAACAUGGCUCGAUCAUUUGCAAAACCAAUUCCAAGGGCUAUAUAUGGGACAUUUAAUGCAAAUGGAAGGGUACAGUUCCGG